rnacentral:rRNA from 1 species
CCUACGGGGCGCACCAGUGGGGAAUAUUGCACAAUGGGCGCAAGCCUGAUGCAGCCAUGCCGCGUGUAUGAAGAAGGCCUUCGGGCUGUAAAGUACUUUCAGCGAGGAGGAAGGCACUAAGGUUAAUAACCUUGGUGAUUGACGUUACUCGCAGAAGAAGCACCGGCUAACUCCGUGCCAGCAGCCGCGGUGAUACGGAGGGUGCAAGCGUUAAUCGGAAUUACUGGGCGUAAAGCGCACGCAGGCGGUCUGUCAAGUCGGAUGUGAAAUCCCCGGGCUCAACCUGGGUACUGCAUUCGAAACUGGCAGGCUAGAGUCUUGUAGAGGGGGGUAGAAUUCCAGGUGUAGCGGUGAAAUGCGUAGAGAUCUGGAGGAAUACCGGUGGCGAAGGCAGCCCCCUGGACAAAGACUGACGCUCAGGUGCGAAAGCGUGGGGAGCAAACAGGAUUAGAUACCCGUGUAGUC